rnacentral:rRNA from 1 species
GUAGGUCCCGAGCGUUGUCCGGAUUUAUUGGGCGUAAAGCGAGCGCAGGUGGUUUAUUAAGUCUGGUGUAAAAGGCAGUGGGCUCAACCAUUGUAUGCAUUGGGAAACUGGUAGACUUGAGUGCAGGAGAGGAGAGUGGAAUUCCAUGUGUAGCGGUGAAAUGCGUAGAUAUAUGGAGGAACACCGGUGGCGAAAGCGGCUCUCUGGCCUGUAACUGACACUGAGGCUCGAAAGCGUGGGGAGCAAACAGGAUUAGAUACCCUGGUAGUCCACGCCGUAAACGAUGAGUGCUAGAUGUAGGGAGCUAUAAGUUCUCUGUAUCGCAGCUAACGCAAUAAGCACUCCGCCUGGGGAGUACGACCGCAAGGUUG